UACGAAGGGGGCUAGCGUUGCUCGGAAUCACUGGGCGUAAAGGGUGCGUAGGCGGGUCUUUUAAGUCAGGGGUGAAAUCCUGGAGCUCAACUCCAGAACUGCCUUUGAUACUGAGGAUCUUGAGUUCGGGAGAGGUGAGUGGAACUGCGAGUGUAGAGGUGGAAUUCGUAGAUAUUCGCAAGAACACCAGUGGCGAAGGCGGCUCACUGGCCCGAUACUGACGCUGGAGGCACGAAAGCGUGGGGGAGCAAACAGG
rnacentral:rRNA from 1 species